UACGUAGGGGGCGAGCGUUGUCCGGAUUCAUUGGGCGUAAAGCGCGCGUAGGCGGCUUCGCAAGUCGGCCGUGAAAUCUCCGGGCUCAACUCGGAGGGGUCGGGCGAGACUGCGAGGCUCGAGGUGGGCAGAGGGCAGUGGAAUUCCGGGUGUAGUGGUGGAAUGCGUAGAGAUCCGGAGGAACACCAGUGGCGAAGGCGGCUGCCUGGACAAUUGCUGACGCUCAGGCACGAAAGCGUGGGGAGCAAAAGGG
rnacentral:rRNA from 1 species